rnacentral:rRNA from 1 species
AUUGAACGCUGGCGGCAUGCCUUACACAUGCAAGUCGAACGGCAGCACGGGGGCAACCCUGGUGGCGAGUGGCGAACGGGUGAGUAACGCAUCGGAACGUGCCCAGUAGUGGGGGAUAACCAGUCGAAAGAUUGGCUAAUACCGCAUACGACCUACGGGUGAAAGCGGGGGACCGUAAGGCCUCGCGCUAUUGGAGCGGCCGAUGUCCGAUUAGCUAGUUGGUGGGGUAAAAGCCCACCAAGGCGACGAUCGGUAGCUGGUCUGAGAGGACGACCAGCCACACUGGGACUGAGACACGGCCCAGACCCCUACGGGAGGCAGCAGUGGGGAAUUUUGGACAAUGGGGGCAACCCUGAUCCAGCAAUGCCGCGUGAGUGAAGAAGGCCUUCGGGUUGUAAAGCUCUUUUGUCAGGGAAGAAACACCGGCUCUAACACAGUCUGGGAAUGACGGUACCUGAAGAAUAAGCACCGGCUAACUACGUGCCAGCCGCCGCGGUAACAC